UGCUCUGUGCCAAUCUUGCCACGCAGCCAGCCUCGAAGGGGGCUUUGAGCAGUGUCCAUUGGAUCAAAUGCAAUUCGAUAAAGCGGAAUGCGUGGGUUGUGAAUUCCCUAGCAGAACAGCGAACACCGUGAAGGUGUACUGCUGGAACGAAGCUCACGGCUGCGAGUACACGGGCACCAUGGACCGCAUGCUGGAGCACUACGAGAACGAAUGCACAUUUCACACAACGGAAUGUUGGCGAUGCGGCGAGAGAGUCCAGCACAGAGAACUACCAAGGCACUACGUGAACGGAUGCAGGGCCGGUGUUUCUUCAGCGAUCACAGAGUCCUCGGAGCAUACAGCACUGACCCUUGCAGACAUGAAGGCGAUGUUGGGAUGUCUCAACCACGACCAGCUGCUGCCAGUGAUUCAGAGUCAGUUGAAUGAGCUUACGGAGCAAGCCAGAAACCAGGAAGCCAGGUUUGCCGAGAUUUCUCGCGAGCUAGGAGCAUGCGAGCACAACUUAAAGGCCGAGAUGGAACGAAUUGCCGCCACGAUUUCAUCCACCGUGUCCCACCAGCUGAUUUCUCAGCAAAAUACAUUGGAGGAAGUCAGCACGUCGAGGUCGCUGUCAUUGCGCUCGGAACAGGAUCUGAUACUAAGAAAGUUGGAACACUUAGUCCACAUGGAACACUCGCGGAAAACUUCCCCGAAGCCUGAUUUCAGCCCGGUCAUUGCUCAUUGCGAGACUUUGUACGGUGGCGUUCGCCAUUUGACCAGUGCAUUGUCGACAACCGCGCGGAUUGAAGAAAUUUCGUGGGCGACUUAUCUGCUCGCCCUAGAAAACUGCGAGGAAAUCCUUCAGUUGCAGCGAGGGAAUAAAACGCUUGCCGAGAUUACGGUGUGGCACAUGAGGGACACGUACUGUACUAUUGCCGUCUGGUUCUACAAUGGUUCUCCAUCUGAAUUGGCUGUGGAGACCGAGUUUAACGGGAUGCUGGUGGACUCUGUGUGUUGGCCGCCCUUCUGGCACGUGCAAGCGGUGGAUAAAGUAACAUUGAAUGAACGCUCGUUGGCUUACUGUGUGAAACGUUGUUACUGCAAGCGCGAUGAUCCCUCAUUGGAACACUUCCACCUCCAAUUUCGUAUAGACACUGCCUUGAUGAAAAAUGACGGCUACCUCCGAGACGGAAAGAUAGAGUUCGAAAUCUUCCUCAACAAUACCGAAGAGGACAAUGGUGUCAAAGGAGCACCCUAACGUUCGUCAUCGCAGAAUGUGUACUGCACUGGAGAGUCCUCCUUGCUACUUCCCGAAUUGUGUCACAUUUUUUAUCUCCUUUCUCUUAAUUAAAGUCAGCUCUGCGAAAUUCCAUCUUUAAAAUUUGCUAUCCUUUGUAACUGUCAACCUAUUGUUUUCUGACUGUACUGGCUGUACAUUUUGUUUAUUUCUUGUGCUAAUACAGAUUGUGUUCCUAAAUAUUGCGCUCCUCUUGUGCUCCUCGAUUGGUUUCUGAACUUAUGGCGGCCACCUCGAUACCUUUCUCUCGACUAUUGCCGUGCGGCUGUUAAAGCCAUUGAUUUCAAGUCGACGUUCGUAUUUGAUAUUACGCUGUAGUACCACGCAUUGUCCUGCGUCCGAAAUACACGGCAAAUGUUAAUGCAUCGCAAGGAACAGUUUUAGAGGUCCCCGAGCCGAUCGUAUGAAGUAGAACGGCGUCAACGCUGGAUCGCGCUUGUCCGACAGCAGACUGUUUUAUGUUCCGGCGUUAGGCCAAAUGCGUUAACACUGAAUUCCUUGCUUUUACACCAACGAUGGCAGCAACGGGACACCUAUAGUGCUUACCAGUGUAUGCAGAAAAAGUAAUUUGUUUCCACACUGUACCGAAGUAAAGCUGUAGAACUCUUUCCCAAUCCUCUCUCCCAUUCAAACAGCGCCAGGGCUUGCUGAGAGCUACGAGGAGGGGUUGCACCUGGCCACGGAGUAAGCACCUGGCUCAGCUGGCGUACACCCUCCUGCGCCCAGCAUAUCGACUCAGGUGCAGUUGAGAUCACCAAAAUAUUUGAGGACGUGGUUUAUUGGAACCUCCUUUGCACGCACCGAAAAAUUGCAACAACAUAACAAGUCUCGAAUUUUCAGUAAUUUGGGCGAAAAUAUUUUCUCAGAGUAGUCUUAACAAAACUGGCACUUCCCUGCGAUGCCAGCACGUCAAUCGCAGCUCGCCGCUAAGAUUUGUCUGCAGUCGCCGAUCUGCAAGAACCAAUGUCGCCCACAACUUCAUGCGUCCACAUCGUAAAUAACGAAGUAACUUACGCCGACCUUCACGCAUCUCGCUUGUGUGGUGCUUUUCGUUUGCGGAAUGCACCUAGCAGUCACUUCCGAUCAGUGCGAGUUCAGCAGUUCCCUCACGUGCUUCGCUUCAAAUAGACGACAUCCUUUCCCCAAACUCUUUCCACGGAAAAAGCUGUCCAGAUCUUGUAAUUCCCGAAACCCGGCUAAAAUUAAUAUCAGCACGCUGUUUCGCGCCAUCACUUCCGUUUGGCAGAGUGACAAAUACACAGCGCCGGCUGGUGACGCCAUCAGUAAUCCUACCGCAUUUGAGCAGCUAUUCGUCAGAUGGCGCUAGGGGUCCGGUAGACAGGGCACCGCGUGCCGCUGCUGCGGAAUCGGCGGGAGAUGUAACUGACUGCUGUCACCGACCGUAACGACGCUAUUGUUUCUCGCCGCGUUGCGGAGGCGAAAAGUGCGAUAAGAGUUCGCCAUUCUACGCGAUAGCGCGUGCAGGGCUCAUUCUAUCUCUCGUUGACGCUGAUCUAGGCAAAGUGUCUGACACCACUGAGUAGCGAUAAGCUCGGUAAAACAAGCCACCACGCUCUUGUGCGAGCGUAGGAUUCGCGCCGGAAGACGCCGCCAUGCCGAAACACGGACGAGGACGGGUGCACAGUUUUCGCGGCCACGUCGUCGCCGGCGUCAACAGGCGACCGACGCGGUUCGUCGACGAGGUUCCCCCUUCACGUGUGUGCGGCCUCUGCCGCAUGAUACCGAAGCGGAUGGUGCUGUUGCCGUGCUGGCACGCUCUGUGCCAAUCUUGUCACGCAGCCAGUCUCGAAGGGGACGUUGGCCAGUGUCCGUUGGAUCGAAAGGCAUUCGAAGAAGGGGAAUGCGGGUGUUGUGAAUUCCCUACCAGAAAAGCGAACGCCGUGAAGGUGUACUGCUGGAACGAAGCACACGGCUGCGAGUACACGGGCACCGUGGACCGCAUGCUGGAGCACUACGAGAACGAAUGCACGUUUCACACCGUGGACUGUUCGCGAUGCGGCGAGGGAGUCCAGCACAAAGACCUGCCAACGCACUACGCGGCCGGAUGCAGUGCCGGUGUUUCUACUGCGAUCGCAGAGUCCUCGCAACCUACAGCAGUGACACUCGAAGACGUGAACGCUGCCCUUGAAGACGUGAAGGCGAUGCUGGGAUGCCUCAACCACGACCAGCUGCUGCCAGUGAUUCAGAGUCAGUUGAAUGAGCUUAAAGAAGAAGUCAGAAACCAGGAAGCAAGGUUCACUCGGGAGCUCGGAGCGUGCGAGCAGAAUUUAAAGGCCGAGAUGGAACAAAUCACCGUCACGAUUUCCUCGACCGUGUCGCACAAGCGGACGUCUCAGCAAAAUUCAUUGGAAGAAGCCAGCACGUCGAGGUCGCUGUCGUUCAGCUCGGAACAAGAAGAUGAGAUACGUCCAAAGUGUGAACACUUAGUCCACCUGGAACACUCGCGGCAAACUUCCCCGAAGCCUGAUUCCAGGCGUGUCGUUGCCCGUUUGGAGACUUUGAAAGAUGGCGUUCGGCAUUUGAACAGUGCGCUGUCGACACCCGAGUGGAUUGAAAAAAAUGUGGGGGCGAGUCAUGUGCUGAUCCUGGAAAACUGUGAGGAAAUCAUUCAGUUGCAGGGAACGAAUGAAAAGUUGACCGAGAUGACGGUGCGGUACAUGAACGACACGUACUUUACCAUUGCCGCUUGGAAGUACGGCUUUCCUGCAGCACCUACCCUCAUUGUGGAGAUCGAGUUUAACGGGACGCUGGUGGACUCAAAUUGUUGGCCGCCUGUCUGGAGCAUGCACGCGGUGCACCCAGAAAAAUCCCCUCCAUUUCUGCUGGCUCCCGUUGCCCAGCAUUGUUCCUGCGAGCGCGACAAUCCCUCACGGCUACACUUGCACGUCAAAUUUCAUAUGGACGUUGCCUCGCUGAAGAAUGGCGGCUACUUCCGAGACGGAAAAAUAAAGUUCCUUAUCUCGCUCAGCCCUUCAAAUUCGGGCAGUAAGAUCGCAGGGGCACCCUAACGUUCGCCAUCGCAGAAUGUGCACUGCACAGGAGAAUCCUCCUCGCCACUUCAGAAAAUGUGUCACAUGAGCUUAGCGAAUUUUCGAUCUUCUUUCUAGUAAAUAAAGCGAGCUCUGCGACAUUCCUUUUUUUUUAAUUUGC